rnacentral:rRNA from 1 species
GGGCUCACACAAGCGGUGGAGGAUGUGGCUUAAUUCGAGGCUACGCGAAGAACCUUAUCCUAGUCUUGACAUGCUUGGAUUAACCCUGUGAAAGCAGGGCCACGCCUUCGGGUGGAACAAGCACAGGUGCUGCAUGGCUGUCGUCAGCUCGUGUCGUGAGAUGUCGGGUUAAGUCCCUUAACGAGCGAAACCCUUGUCUCUAGUUGCCAGCGGGUCAAGCCGGGGACUCUAGAGAGACCGCCGGCGUUAAGCCGGAGGAAGGCGGGGAUGACGUCAAGUCCUCAUGGCCUUUAUGACUAGGGCUGCACACGUCCUACAAUGGCGCGCACAAAGGGAAGCGAACUCGCGAGAGCAAGCAAAUCCCAAAAAUCGCGCCUCAGUUCGGAUUGCAGGCUGCAACUCGCCUGCAUGAAGCUGGAAUCGCUAGUAAUCGCGGGUCAGCAUACCGCGGUGAAUGUGUUCCUGAGCCUU